rnacentral:rRNA from 1 species
GAUGAACGCUGGCGGCGUGCCUAAUACAUGCAAGUCGAGCGAACAGACGAGGAGCUUGCUCCUCUGACGUUAGCGGCGGACGGGUGAGUAACACGUGGAUAACCUACCUAUAAGACUGGGAUAACUUCGGGAAACCGGAGCUAAUACCGGAUAAUAUAUUGAACCGCAUGGUUCAAUAGUGAAAGACGGUUUUGCUGUCACUUAUAGAUGGAUCUGCGCUGCAUUAGCUAGUUGGUAAGGUAACGGCUUACCAAGGCAACGAUGCGUAGCCGACCUGAGAGGGUGAUCGGCCACACUGGAACUGAGACACGGUCCAGACUCCUACGGGAGGCAGCAGUAGGGAAUCUUCCGCAAUGGGCGAAAGCCUGACGGAGCAACGCCGCGUGAGUGAUGAAGGUCUUCGGAUCGUAAAACUCUGUUAUUAGGGAAGAACAAAUGUGUAAGUAACUAUGCACGUCUUGACGGUACCUAAUCAGAAAGCCACGGCUAACUACGUG